rnacentral:misc_RNA from 1 species
GAUGAAGAACGUAGCGAAAUGCGAUAAGUAGUGUGAAUUGCAGAAUUCAGUGAAUCAUCGAAUCUUUGAACGCACAUUGCGCCCCUUGGUAUUCCAUGGGGCAUGCCUGUUCGAGCGUCAUUUGUACCUUCAAGCUUUGCUUGGUGUUGGGUGUUUGUUCCGCCUCUGUGUGUGAACUCGCCUCAAAACAAUUGGCAGCCGGCGUACUUGUUUCGGAGCGCAGCACAUUUUGCGAUCCAGAUCAACGUACAGCGGCAUCCAAGAAGCCUUAUUUAACGCUCUUGACCUCGGAUCAGGUAGGGAUACCCGCUGAACUUAAGCAUAUCAAUAAGCGGAGGA